GUGAACGCCCUCACGGGCUUAUAACUAUUCCAAACCUCUGUGAACCGUGCCCUUCGGGGCUAUUUUACAAACAUGGUGUAAUGGACGUCAUAUAUCAUAACAAAACA
rnacentral:misc_RNA from 1 species